GACGAACGCUGGCGGCGUGCUUAACACAUGCAAGUCGAACGCUGAAGCUCAGCUUUUGUUGGGUGGAUGAGUGGCGAACGGGUGAGUAACACGUGAGUAACCUGCCCCCUUCUUUGGGAUAACGCCCGGAAACGGGUGCUAAUACUGGAUAUUCACUGGUCUUCGCAUGGGGGUUGGUGGAAAGGGUUUUUCUGGUGGGGGAUGGGCUUGCGGCCUAUCAGCUUGUUGGUGGGGUGAUGGCCUACCAAGGCUUUGACGGGUAGCCGGCCUGAGAGGGUGACCGGUCACAUUGGGACUGAGAUACGGCCCAGACUCCGACGGGAGGCAGCAGUGGGGAAUAUUGCACAAUGGGCGCAAGCCUGAUGCAGCGACGCCGCGUGAGGGAUGGAGGCCUUCGGGUUGUGAACCUCUUUCGCUCAUGGUCAAGCCGCAACAAUGGUUGUGGUGAGGGUAGUGGGUAAAGAAGCGCCGGCUAACUACGUG
rnacentral:rRNA from 1 species